rnacentral:rRNA from 1 species
UAUCAUUUGACGUUAGCGACAGAAGAAGCACCGGCUAACUCCGUGCCAGCAGCCGCGGUAAUACGGAGGGUGCGAGCGUUAAUCGGAAUUACUGGGCGUAAAGCGCAUGCAGGUGGUUCGUUAAGUCAGAUGUGAAAGCCCGGGGCUCAACCUCGGAAUAGCAUUUGAAACUGUCGGACUAGAGUACUGUAGAGGGGGGUAGAAUUUCAGGUGUAGCGGUGAAAUGCGUAGAGAUCUGAAGGAAUACCAGUGGCGAAGGCGGCCCCCUGGACAGAUACUGACACUCAGAUGCGAAAGCGUGGGGAGCAAACAGGAUUAGAUACCCUGGUAGUCCACGCCGUAAACGAUGUCUACUUGGAGGUUGUGGCCUUGAGCCGUGGCUUUCGGAGCUAACGCGUUAAGUAGACCGCCUGGGGAGUACGGUCGCAAGAUUAAAACUCAAAUGAAUUGACGGGGGCCCGCACAAGCGGUGGAGCAUGUGGUUUAAUUCGAUGCAACGCGAAGAACCUUACCUACUCUUGACAUCCAGAGAAGCCAGYGGAGACRCAGGUGUGCCUUCGGGAGCUCUGAGACAGGUGCUGCAUGGCUGUCGUCAGCUCGUGUUGUGAAAUGUUGGGUUAAGUCCCGCAACGAGCGCAACCCUUAUCCUUGUUUGCCAGCACGUAAUGGUGGGAACUCCAGGGAGACUGCCGGUGAUAAACCGGAGGAAGGUGGGGACGACGUCAAGUCAUCAUGGCCCUUACGAGUAGGGCUACACACGUGCUACAAUGGCGCAUACAGAGGGCAGCCAACUUGCAAAAGUGAGCGAAUCCCAAAAAGUGCGUCGUAGUCCGGAUUGGAGUCUGCAACUCGACUCCAUGAAGUCGGAAUCGCUAGUAAUCGUGGAUCAGAAUGCCACGGUGAAUACGUUCCCGGGCCUUGUACACACCGCCCGUCACACCAUGGGAGUGGGCUGCAAAAGAAGUAGGUAGUUUAACCUUCGGGAGAACGCUUACCACUUUGUGGUUCAUGACUGGGGUGAAGUCGUAACAAGGUAGCGCUAGGGGAACCUGGCGCUG